UCUGGGCCAUUUUCUUCCUUCCGAAAACGGGAGCUGAGAAAUAGCACUGCUUCACCUCGAGGUUUGAGAUUCUGAGGCUGAUCUGUGUGAAGGGCUUAAUCCUGAGCGUUGCACCCAGUGAAGAGCUAGCUGACAGGGUUUCUCUGUGGAGCCCUGGCUGGCCUAGAACUCCAGAGAUCCACCUGCCUCUGCUUCCUGGCUGCUGGAUUACAGACCUGUUCCACCAAUGUCCAACUCCGUGUCUCUGCUUCUUAACCACAGUGGACCCCAAGUCGCCAAUGUUUUUCAUUGACGCUCAGCAUGUAGUCACCGUGGAUGGGUAGACUGAACACCAAAGGGUGAGCCAUGAGAUGAACCUGCUACCUCACAUAUGGCUGUGAGAGGAAGAGGCAGGCACUGUGAAGGUGCUGGGGUUUCGUUUGCAACAAGACAGUUAUGGUGCAACUGUUGCCGCAGAUUUUUUUUUCCCCAGCCAGAAUCUCUACAAACUUCUGGUCUCCAAAUACCAAAAUGGCCCUAGGGCAAGAUGUAACAGGCUAUCAUGAUGACUCAGCAAGUAUGGGUGCCUGCUGUCAAGUCCUUAGACAUGAGUGUCCUGGCACACAGCUUGUACACGCAUGUGCACAGGAGUACAUACACACAGAAUGCUCUAGAGCCUGGCUUGCUGUAAUCUGUAAAUUAUAAACUAUCUUUUCUUAGUCAAGGUUUCUAUUCCUGCACAAACAUCAUGACCAAGAAGCAAGUUGGGGAGGAAAGGGUUUAUUCAGCUUACACUUCCACAUUGCUGUUCAUCACCGAAGGAAGUCAGGACUGGAACUCAAGCAGGUCAGGAAGCAGGAGCUGAUGCAGAGGCCAUGGAGGGAUGUUACUUCCUGGCUUGCUCAGCUUGCUCUCUUAUAGAACCCAAGACCAUCAGCCCAGGGAUGGCACCAUCCACAAUGGGCUGGGGUCCUCCACUCUUGAUCAUUAAUUGAGAAAAUGCCAUACAGCUGGGUCUCAUGGAGGCAUUUCCUCAAGGGAGCAAGGCAUUUCCUUUCUCAGUGAGAACUCCAGCUUGAGUCAAGUUGUGCCAUAAAACGAGCCAGUGCAUAUCUCCAAACUGACUUUACCCAGUGUCUCAAGUCACUCACGGGUGCUUUUUCUUCUUGACUUCCUCCUCUAGGGCCAUGGCUCUCAACCUUCCUAAUACUGUGGUGACCCCACCACCACCAUAAAAUUAUUUCGUCGCUACUUCGUAACUAUAACUAUCUGAUAUACCGUAUAUCUGACCCCCAAAGGGGGAGACCCACAGGUUGAGAACCGCUGCUCUAGCAUGAUACAGGCAUCCGGAAACAACUUUAAAUGAGUCCAUAACCUGGAGUGGCCUCGCAUCUGUUACACACACCCAAAAUCACUUGAGGAGGCAGGAAACGAUCCAUAAAGAUGGCUCCCAUCAGAACUGCAUCCACUGUGUCCCUGAGGCAGCGGGCAGGACCCAAGAGCUGAUCUUUCAGCAGGAAAUGGUACCUGGGAGGAUUCACUAUCAUUAGACUAAGGGAAGCCCAGAAAUCAGACUGUUCUGCAUACUGCAAGCAGGGGAAGGAGCAAGUGGGGCCUUACUGACCAGCUAACGAGAGCCACUCUGCGCCCAGCAGCCUAGAUCUCCAUAGGAAGGGCACCAGGGCCUACAGGUCUGGGUUGACUUAAAACCCUGGCCCUGAGUACCUGUUGAGUCCCAUGAACCUCCAAAGAGACUGUCCUGCUAGCAGUCAGGCAUGCCAGAGUGGGUGAGAGGUCUCUUGUUUUGUGCUGUGUCAAUUCCUACAUGAUUCAGGUUGUGAAACACGGUGGGUCAGCCACAGGAAACAUGGGAGAGCUGGUGAGUCACUGUCACCAGACAGGAAAGCACCUGCAGAGGGCUACAGCCACUGCUGCAUCUCUUGGGGCCACUGGAAGGAGAUGGGCUCACCCCUAGUACAGGGAAAGAAUGCUGGGUGGAUAUUCAGGACUGCCUCAUGCCAAGCCUAGAGCAUCAAACCUUAGAAUCCCCAUCACCCGGAAAAGCCAAGCUUCUAGAACAUUCUUUCACCGAGAUAAUGCAGGUUGCAAAUACAAAGGGACAGGUGGUCCUGCAGCCUCAUCCAUUCCUGCCCCAAGGCAAUGAUUUGUCCUCAAGUGAGCUCAGUGCCCACUCCAGAGGCCUGAGACACUCCAGGUCCUUCCAUGCCAAUGACUAUGAUAAGGUAUCCUAGUGAAAGAAGAUACCUCACAUGUAUCUGCCAGGCCCAUUCCAUCUUCUCCCAUAUCCACAGACAGAGGAGGGCAAGUAGCAGACAUAAGGCCCCAAAUGAUGCAGACCAGGGGCAGCUGUUCAAGAGGAAGAGGCUCCACUCUUACAACUGACUGUUAGGUAUCCAUGUGUUUGAAGGCACAGAAAGUCAGGGCUUGGGGAGGUAGCUCGGUGGGUUAAGUACUUGCCUUCCAAACCUGAGGACUUACGUUCAAUCCACAGAGCCCAUGUGAAAGCCCACAGGUGGUGGUUUAACAGUAGACCCUCGCAUGGGCCUCAAGGGCUCCCGUACUUGCACACCAUAUCUGGACAUGGGAACAUGAACUCACACAAAGGCACAGGAAGAAACCGCUGGGUCUGGGCUAAGCAUGCACACCACUUGUCCUUACGCCUUCCACUACUGGCUCAGCGUACGCUGCGUUCACACCAGCAACCCAAGAAGAUGAAGUCAAAGUGGGAGUGUGUGGGUUCCACACAGAUGCUUAAUUCUCUGGAGUAGCCUGAUCAUGGUGGGCUUCCCUGUCUCAAGGCCAACAACUAGAAGUGGUCUCCACAAAUAAAAGGUGGGAGAGCCACAAAAGCCAUGAGUUGGACAGCCUUCGGGGAGGGGCAAGGGAGUGACAAGACACAGGUUUGGGAAACAGGUCAGUCAUGGGAAGGGGGUUUCAGCACAGGGAGUGAGCGCAUCACAAAAUUUCGUAAGGAGAGGAAGUUUUGUAGCAACAUUGCCCCAACCCGCAAGCCCUACCCAGCCCUACCCAGCCCAUCCAUUGGCUAUACUCAGCCUCAUCUUAACCUCCACUAACAUACAAGGAGCCUGUGUAGCCUCUGGACCUAGCCGUACAGUCCCCUGUGCAGAGGACUCCAGAGGAGAGCGGGGAGCUGGGGCCUGAGAGCUAUGCCUUGCAAUCCCUCAAGUUCAAGGAGAUGCCAGCUUGGAGAUAUUUAUCUCUAAGGUGGCUUCAAAGCAAAACUAAUCUCUUAGCAUACGCUCACCCAUCAGGAAAGGCUAAGCAAAUAACAGGGGCAGGGUGUGCAACGCAAGCAUUAAGCCAAGGCAUGCCAGCCACUCUUGGCAAGUACAGACAAACACAAUACAGCACUAAAUGCAAAACAAUAGGAGAGCACUUAAAUGCAGGGCUACUCGAUAUAAUCACAGUCCCGAGGGUGAAGCCUGGAGGCUGGGCCAGGCAGCUCCACACGGACCCACACCUGGAGAGGUAGGUAGCAGUUCCUGCUUUCAAGGUACAUGAGGGUCUCACACAGGCAGCCCCUAGGCUGAUCAGGGUGUGGUUACUUGCACACAAGCGGAAUGACCAGUGUUCAGUUCUGGAAGGUGGGCUUUUAAAGGCACUUUAAGCAUCCUCUUAGCACUCUUCUGGGUCUUUUACAUAUGUGGCUGGGGUCUCCUGUCAAUACUGACCUUAGUUCCAAGGGCACUGUUUCCAGCCACAGCCGCUUCCCACCUUGGCAUCCUCUCUUCUGAUGCACCUUGCCUCAGUAUCCCCAAAAGGCAUUCCUGACACCUGUAGAGAUUCGGCCUCAUCUUGUAGAGAGCCGUGCCCUCAAAACUCCAGAGCCCGGUGCACACUGAGGUCCACCCCACAGGCAGUUUAGCACCUUGGGCCCCUGCCUGUUAUCUUUUGUGCUGUUCAGCUCUGACCUGUGCCUCCAUCAUCCUCAUGCCUGUGCUCCAAAACUCAUUAUCUCCCAUUACACAGAGUCACAGUUAGACCAAGUGUACCAGCUGCAACCUGGGCCUAGCUUAGCUUCCAUUACCCGGUAGUGCCGGCCACCACAGGGUUGCAGUAAAGUUACUGAAAUGGAAUACUGCUGGCGGCUUAAUUCACCUGCUGAUCCUCAGGUGGCCCAGGAGAGAAAUAAAUGUGGCCCAAUAAAAAUCCAUUAAGUUUCCUACUUGGGAGGCAGAGACAGGCAGAUCUCUGUGAGUUUGAGGCCAGCCUGGUUUACAAAGUGAGUUCUAGGCCAGCUAAGGCGCCACAGUGAGACCCUGUCUCAAAACAAACAAAAAGAGCUGGAGAGAUGGCUCAGCAGUUAAGAGCACUGACUGCUCUCCCAGAGGUCUUGAGUUCAAAUCCCAGCAACCACAUGGUGGCUCACAACCAUCUGUAAGGAGAUCUGAUGCCCUCUUCUGGUGUGUCUGAAGACAGCAACAGUGUACUUAUUUAUAAUAAAUAAAUCUUAAAAAAAAAAAAAAACAAACAAAAAACCCUAUAGGCUCACUUAGAGUUUACUAGGCCAUGUGGUUCUUGGGUGUAAGUUCUAUAUAUGACAACACUAGGUAAAAAUGUCAACAGUCUAGACAUGCCUGAAGGGGAAGCAAUUUAAAAACCAACUCUCCGGGGCUGGGGAUUUAGCUCAGUGGUAGAGCGCUUACCUAGGAAGCGCAAGGCCCUGGGUUCGGUCCCCAGCUCCGAAAAAAAGAACCAAAAAAAAAAAAAAAACCAACUCUCCAACUGGAAAAGAGAGCUCAGUGGCUAAAAGUGCCCACUGAUCCUGCAGGGGAGUCCCCCGCGCACGCACACAGAGAGAGAGAGAGAGAGAGAGAGAGAGAGACAGAGAGACAGAGAGAGACAGAGACAGAGAGAGACAGACAGAGAGAGAGAGAGAGAGAGAGAGAGAGAGAGAGAGAGAGAGAGAGGUCUUUAAAAAAAACAAAAAGGGGGGCUGGAGAGAUGGCUCAGCGGUUAAGAGCACCCGACUGCUCUUCCAGAGGUCAUGAGUUCAAUUCCCAGCAACCACAUGGUGGCUCACAACCAUCUGUAAAGAGAUCCAAUGCCCUCUUCUGGUGUAUCUGAAGACAGCUACAGUGUACUUACAUAUAAUAAAUAAAUAAAUCUUAAAAAAAAAAAAAAAAAAAAAAAA